rnacentral:lncRNA from 1 species
AUGAUGAGAUUGCAGAACUAUGUGCUGAUGGAGAUAAAAAGAAAGAUGGAGUUAAAGUCAAGGCCAAGAAAGAUCUUAAAGCAGAAGAAGACAAACUGUGCUCUGCAUUGGCAGCAGAGGGAGCAAAGGCAUGCCCUGAUGGCAUUGAGGAUGGCCACCUGAGUGAUGACGAGCGAGAAGGAGAGAAGGAGAAGGAGAAGAAGAAGAAGAAGAAGUUGAAGAAGAAGAAAAAGGUGAUCACACAAUGUGCAUGCAAAGGAAAAAGCAUUUGUCUCUACUUCCUUUAAACUGAGAAUAUUGCUUUUGUCCUUCCUGCUGUAGUUACAGGACAAUCAAGAUCAAAGUUCUCAGUGAUUUAAAAAGAACAAAACAUUAUCUUUGGUUUGCUGCAGGAUUCUGGCUCAUCCUCAGACAGUGAUGAUGAUGAUGAUGAUGAUGAUGAUGAGAAAGACAAGAAGAAGAAAAAGAAGAAGAAGAAGGACAAGGACUCCUCCAGCUCCUCCUCUUCUUUGUCUGAUAGCUCUUCCUCAGACAGCGAAGAUGACAAGAAGAAAAAAAAGAAGAAGAAGACGAAGAAGAAGAAGGAUAAGGAUUCCUCCUCUUCUUCUUCUGAUAGUGAAGAUGACGAGAAGAAGAAGAAGAAAAAGAAGAAGAAGACCAAGAAGAAGAAGGAUAAGGAUUCCUGCUCCUCCUCUUCUUCUUCUGAUAGUGAAGAUGACGAGAAGAAGAAGAAGAAAAAGAAGAAGAAGACCAAGAAGAAGAAGGAUAAGGAUUCCUGCUCCUCCUCUUCUUCUUCUGAUAGUGAAGAUGACGAGAAGAAGAAGAAGAAGACGAAGAAGAAGAAGGAUAAGGAUUCCUGCUCCUCUUCCUCUUCUUCUGAUAGUGAAGAUGACGAGAAGAAGAAGAAAAAGAAGAAGAAGAAGAAGAAGAAGAAGAAGAAGAAGGAUAAGAAGAAGAAGAGCAAGAAAGACAAGAAAAAGGACUCCGAUUCUUCUAGCAGUGAUGAUGACAAGAAGAAAAAGAAGAAGAAAGACAAGAAGAAGAAAAAGAAGAAGGACAAAAAGAAGGACUCCAGUUCAUCGAGUUCAUCUGAUAGUUUCUGUGGCAGUGACAAGGAAAAUAAAAAGGACGAGAAGGACGAGAAGGACGAGAAGGACAAGAAGGACGAGAAGAAGAAGGAAUGCCCUGAGCAAUGCGACAAGCCAAAAACGGAAGUUUCCGGCUCAGGUGGUGGCGGCUUUUCAGCUCCCAGUGGCAGCUACUCUAAGUCUGCAGUUGCUCCUGGCGGUGGUCCUGCCAGGUGAUCCUGCCGGUGGUCCUGCCGGUGGUCCUGCCGGUGGUCCUGCCGGUGCUCCUGCCGGUGCUCCUGCCGGUGCUCCUGCCGGUGCUCCUGCCGUCUCUUACGCGUCACUCCCCUCCAAACCCUUUGUGAAGCUGGAUCCGAGUCUUUCAACUGUCUCCAAGCCCCCUUUCUCUAGCACCACCCUGAGUAUGGGAGAUAGGGCCCCCAUUCGCAGACCUCCCAGCCCCAUGGAGUCUUUGAUGGGGAGCCCGAGGAGGUAUGGAGAGCGUUCCACCUCCCACCUCACCUCCAGUGACCUAUUGAAAGGCCCCAAGCCUUACUAAUAAUGAGAUGUCAUGGAUAGAAAUGUGAUUUUACUGAUACUGGAGGAUGUUGAAUGUGAUGAUGAUAUGAUUAGAGGUUAGUGUGUAAAGAUGCAUUGUGACAUGAUGAACAUUGUCAAGUCGAGGAAGAUAAUUACACCAUGAGAAAUCAUUUUGUUAUAAAAACUUUUACUUAAUAGUUCAUAAUUUGUCAAUUUAAUUGUUAAAAAAAUGCACAUUUGUGGCAGAAAUGUCAAUUCAUAAUCACAUGAAAUAAUUAGAAAUCCUUGCUUUGUGGAAUAAAAUAAUAUGAUUUCAU